AAUUUCUCCAUGUUCAGAUUCCCAGGUCAUGAGGACAGAUUCCGUUAGUUUCCUUCCCACCUUCGUGGACAUGUUCAAUGCUAUACGUGGAUGUCCACCGAUUGAAAAACUAUCUGAUCCACUCCAGGCGAUCAUCAAAGAAGUUGGAAAGAACGGUGAUCUUGUGUGGACUCUAAACAGGAUGCAGUUUAUAAGGUGACUUUGAUUCUGUUCAUAGGUUUCUUUUAAUUUGAUUUAAGCUAUACUACCUUCUUUUGUUUCCCUCCAUUUAAUUAAGCUUUUUCACUACGUGAGGGACAAGAUUAAGAAAAUAGAAAGAAUACAGAGGAAGAAAGUUAAGGAUGUAUCGAUGAAACAGAAGAUUGAGACAUGUUUUCAUAUUUUGAGCUCUCUCCAAAGCGCUAUUGAGGAUCUGUGGAUCAUCGUCCUCACUCCACCACAAGGUGAACUAAGGUCUCUCAUCGCUGUUUUGAUGAUGGAAGAUCAAAGGUUCUUGCCUGGACACUAGUGAUCAAGACCUGAUGAAAAUUUUCCACGGGGUUGAAUGGGAUCCAAAAGAUGAUCUGGAAUAUGAGUUUCCAAAAUCGCUGAUGCAGAAUCUGUUUGAGGAGUACGAAGAUGUACUGAUGGGAAAUGAGGAAGACAUAAUCACGGAUGAGGUUAUUGAAGCAAACAAGUUGAAGAAGAAGAUGUCGAUGCAAUUGUCGUUUGAUAACUAUGUGGAAGGGAACAAGCUUGCUACUCGUGAAGGGAAAUUUGGAAGAAAGGUCACCAAAAAAGAAGCAUCUGCGAAAAUCACCAUCAAUCGUCUGAAGAACACUGUUAAGAAGCGUCACUAGUAGAAUGAGUUGAGAGAUUUUAUAUACGUUGAUGGCUGUCGGCUGAUAUAUGGGAGAAACAAAUGUAUAAGCAAACCAUUCAUGGUUAGAGCCAGCCCGAUAAAUAAAAACAGACCCACACAAUUC